AACAAGUUUAAUUCUAAAUGAUCUAUAGGUAUAAUGUGAUACAUAUUUGAGGUAAAUAACAAUACAAAAACAUCAAUAAAAUUGUAACAGAAAACAGUUCAAACUCCUUACCAGUCUCUCUGCUAUAAAAAAAAUUUAUGGUUCAAUUUUAACUCCCUUAUAAUUCACCUAAAUACCACAUCUUAUUUUAGAAUUCCAACCCAUAGACAUCAUUCUAUCUCACAACUACAUAAUUUAAUAGCUGAUUUCUCUCCAUGUUUAUAUAAAUAUCUUUAUGUUCCACUAUUUAUAGAGAUAUUCUACCUCAAUGUAAGCUUGAUGAGGUGUUUGAUUAUUUCAUUUCAUAAAAGUCCAGAUAAAUAUCUAAAAUCAAAGAAAAUACCAAAAAUUGGUUUGUAAACUAAUUUUCAGUUUGGUUACACCAACAGUGUCUUCCAUAUUUAAUGUAUAUGAUUUUAACACCAAAAUCUUUAAAACAUCAUAUAAUUUCAAACAGCUCAUCAAUCUUGCACAAAAUAGUUUUUGAGAUAUUAAAGACUCAUUCAGUUUUCUAUCACAAUUUCUGUUGUAGUAAUUCCUCGCCUAAUUAUUCACCGGAAAACAACAUCAGAUGUAGUUCCGCCUGUCUUAGUAAGCAAAAACACAAAUUUACAACAGAUUUACAUUCAUUGGGGAACUUUAAACUUCACUCAUAUAUUUUUGCUAAGUUUAUCCCACUAACAGGUUAUAAGGCUUACGUAAUAAUAGCUUGAAAAGUUUAUUUUUGAAUUUCACAUUGUCUUUAUUUUUUUUUUAUCCUUUCAUAAAUGUUAUAUGAUUCAAGGAUAAAGUGUAUAUAAAUGAAAAUAAUUGAUUAUGCUUUGAUGUAGUAAUUUUUACAAAAUGUCUUUCAUAGCAAAAAGCAUAUACUAAAAAUUAUCUACCAAAAUUCAGUUUGCAUCUUUUAUAUUAAUAUAAAACCCGAUAUAAACACAGACAAAAAUAUUCAAAAUCAAUAUAGCUAUGGGAUAAACUAGCAUUUUCUCUUCAAUCAAUCGAAGUUGGUGACACCUCUUAUGUUAUGUAAACAAGUAUGGAACAAUACAUUAAAUAGCAACAUUAAUAUACGAUCCAAUUUUCUUAUUAACUACCACAAAUUAUGAAAACAAAUGAAUCAAGCUGUUUUCUUGAAUCUUUAAGAAUAAUCCUCAUGAAUUCUGGGUAUAAUGCAGGCCCAAAUGCAAUAACAAGAAUGUAAUUGCACACAAUCAUAUAUUAAUAUUUGAACUAUGUUAUCUUUACAAUUCAAACUAAUUGAAUGACAGUAGAGUAUGUGAAGAAUUAGUUUUCAAACAAAGAACAUGUUUGCUUCAGAUUUUGAGAAAGCAUAAUUUAAACAUUAUGUUACCCAUAGAAGAACGUAAAAGACAUUUUUUGUAUAUUUUGUAUCCAUAUAAAGUAUGCAAAUACCUUGUCACAUAGAAAAAUGUUAUAAAAAUAAUAAGAAAUGUGUUUCAGUCAAAACAAUCUGAUUAAUUUAGUAAGUAUACAUACAAAUAAAUUCAUACAUAUUAUGUUAAGUAAAUAGCCUUUUGCAUACAGUUUUGUUAAUUUUUUUUUUAUAAAUAAUAAAAUUCAUUAAGAUUACAAAAAUGUUCAGGCACUAAGAAAUAAUGAGGUAGAGUCAUGGAUAAACAUUUAAUUACCAUCAAUAUUUAAUAAAUAUAUAUAUGUUGCAAUUUGUGAAAAAAAUAGCAACAUGCAGGUUAUUUAUUAUUACAAUAUCGUGUCUAUUUUAACAAAUCUAUAACUAGUUUGUUUCAAUGUAAAAACUCGUUUUAUGUAAACAUACAAUACCAAUUCCAGUGACAAUCAGGUGAAAAUACAGGCUAUAAGCCAUGAGGGGGUAAAUUAAUGCCCACAUUGGAAAAAUUUCACUACUUUAUGCAAAAAAUUAAUAUAAAUCUUACCACAAUUUUUUUUCUGACUAAAUUUUAUAAGUCAUACAUUUUACCUGUUUAGCCAAGAUGAAUAAUCCAUUUCUGAAAAUUUACAAGACACUUUUAUUCAAAUUUUACCAACACUGAAGCAGAAAUAUUAACAAAAAAUUGUUGCUUUGAAGAUAUACUUAAUAGUUAUUGGAUUUAUCAUUUAGAACGUCUUGAAUUUUUAUAUAACCUAACAGGUACUAAUGUACUCUAGUUAUUCAAAGACAUAUAUGUUCAUUCAGUUUAUAAUUGUAUAUCUAUCAAAUAUUGAUGGAUUUUAUUUUCUAUCAAUCACAAAACACUUUUAAACAGAUCAAUAUGGUACAGAAUAAGAAAAUAAAAUCUAAGACUUACUGAAAUGGAUGAGAAGUUAAAAAUGCAUCAAAAUGAUUGAGGUAGAGAAAGAAGAUUACAAACUGGCAUGACUACAAGCUAUUCACAGCAAUAUUUAUAACUGGCAACAAUGUAUCUAAAGGUUUGCAUUUCUUUGAAUAAAGUUCGUGUUCAGACAUUUUUUUAACAAUAAAUUGAUAUCUUUGAAAUCUCGAAAAAUAUCCCAUGCUUCAAUUUGUAAAACAAUCUAGUUCAAAAGAACCUAAAUCAUGUUAUUACAUGUGAAAUCAUAUUCUCCAGCUGACAAAUUACAAAUAAGCGUUCAUCCUCUCAUAUAUAUUUUCUAUUGUCUGCUUCAUAUGUCACUCUAUAAAAUUGCCAUCUCACAUACAUCUACAAACAGUUUUAUUAAAUAUUUACACGACACCUAUUUUUAAACCUUGACUAUAUUAAUCAACUUCAUUGAAAAGAAAAUUUUAGGCUUAUUCUUUUCAGAAUUUCACAGAUAAUAACAUACAAAUUACUAAAACAAAAGAACUCUUUAUAAAAUCAUAUUUAAUGUAAAUUGAUAGAUCACAACCACACUAAUAGCACUAAAUUUACUUCAUAAAAGUUCCUCCUUGUAAUUAAAACAUGCAUGAACAAG
rnacentral:lncRNA from 1 species